rnacentral:rRNA from 1 species
GUGGGGAAUAUUGGGCAAUGGGCGAAAGCCUGACCCAGCAACGCCGCGUGAAGGAAGAAGGUUUUCGGAUCGUAAACUUCUAUCCUUGGUGAAGAUAAUGACGGUAGCCAAGAAGGAAGCCCCGGCUAACUACGUGCCAGCAGCCGCGGUAAUACGUAGGGGGCAAGCGUUGUCCGGAAUGAUUGGGCGUAAAGGGCGCGUAGGCGGCCCGGUAAGUCUGAAGUGAAAGUCCUGCUUUUAAGGUGGGAAUUGCUUUGGAUACUGUCGGGCUUGAGUGCAGGGGAGGUAAGCGGAAUUCCCGGUGUAGCGGUGAAAUGCGUAGAGAUCGGGAGGAACACCAGUGGCGAAGGCGGCUUACUGGACUGUAACUGACGCUGAGGCGCGAAAGUGUGGGGAGCAAACAGGAUUAGAAACCCUAGUAGUCC